rnacentral:rRNA from 1 species
UACGUAGGGGGCAAGCGUUGUCCGGAUUUAUUGGGCGUAAAGAGCGUGUAGGCGGCUAGGUAGGUCCGUUGUGAAAACUCGAGGCUCAACCUCGAGACGCCGAUGGAAACCAUCUAGCUAGAGUCCGGAAGAGGAGAGUGGAAUUCCUGGUGUAGCGGUGAAAUGCACAGAUAUCAGGAAGAACACCCGUGGCUAAGGCGGCUCUCUAGUACGGUACUGACGCUGAGACGCGAAAGCGUGGGGAGCGAACAGG